rnacentral:sRNA from 1 species
AGGUAGAUGCACCCUGAUGAUUCAACCCCGGCGAUUACACCCCGCCGGGGUUUUUUUGU